AUGUCCUACGGGAGGCAGCAGUGGGGAAUAUUGCACAAUGGGGGAAACCCUGAUGCAGCGACGCCGCGUGAGUGAUGAAGUAUUUCGGUAUGUAAAGCUCUAUCAGCAGGGAAGAUAAUGACGGUACCUGACUAAGAAGCUCCGGCUAAAUACGUGCCAGCAGCCGCGGUAAUACGUAUGGAGCAAGCGUUAUCCGGAUUUACUGGGUGUAAAGGGAGCGUAGACGGCGAUGCAAGCCAGAUGUGAAAGCCCGCGGCUCAACUGCGGUAGUGCAUUUGGAACUGUAUGGCUGGAGUGCAGGAGAG
rnacentral:rRNA from 1 species